rnacentral:tRNA from 1 species
AUAAACAUUUAGCUUUUUAGGAAAUUAGAAGUUUCCUGUAAUUAUUUCUUU